rnacentral:rRNA from 1 species
GAUGAACGCUAGCUCCAGGCUUAACACAUGCAAGUCGAGGGGCAGCAUGAACUUAGCUUGCUAAGUUUGAUGGCGACCGGCGCACGGGUGAGUAACACGUAUCCAACCUGCCGAUGACUCGGGGAUAGCCUUUCGAAAGAAAGAUUAAUACCCGAUGGCAUAGUUCUUCCGCAUGGUAGAACUAUUAAAGAAUUUCGGUCAUCGAUGGGGAUGCGUUCCAUUAGGUUGUUGGCGGGGUAACGGCCCACCAAGCCUUCGAUGGAUAGGGGUUCUGAGAGGAAGGUCCCCCACAUUGGAACUGAGACACGGUCCAAACUCCUACGGGAGGCAGCAGUGAGGAAUAUUGGUCAAUGGACGAGAGUCUGAACCAGCCAAGUAGCGUGAAGGAUGACUGCCCUAUGGGUUGUAAACUUCUUUUAUACGGGAAUAAAGUGAGGCACGUGUGCCUUUUUGUAUGUACCGUAUGAAUAAGGAUCGGCUAACUCCGUG